ensembl:lncRNA
UCUCCUUGAUGCGUCGCUGUCACGUGUCCUGUACAUUUAAAAUAGCCGUGUCACCUCUAAAAUAGGAAAGCAUCCAGCGUCCUGGUCGUUAUAUGUUUUAUUUCCAUUGAUCCGCCAUUGUUAUGUGCGCAGAUGAAGCCUUUAAAUCUGCGUCGCCAUCUCAAAGUGCAUUAAGAGCUUCUGCAUUCCUUACGUGUAAUAGAAGCCUUGUGAGUAAUAUUUAAAAUAAAAUAAAUAAAUAAUGGGGGUCUGCUGCGUACAUUUAGUCUUGGAUGCAGAAUAUGUUCUUUUUAGUUGUCUUUUAGUAAGCUAUGUGUUCUUUUAUGCUCCUAAAAAGGCCUUUUUAUUUAACUAUUGCAUCAUUUGUGCAGCACCUUCUUCAUCUGACAUCAGCUGGAACCACCGAUAAAAACAUGUGAUUCAGCUGAUUCGUCUCCUGCACACGAUGUCACUUUGGACUGAAGACGAAUCAGAUUUGCAUAUAUUACAUUAUUCAAUGUGUGUGUUAUUGCAGCUGUGUGCACGCAUGCAUGCAGGGGGGGGGGGGGGGGGGGGGGCGGGGGGGGGGGGGGGUACGCUCGGGGGUCCUGCAUGGACAGCUCACGAUGACCCCUGACCCCUGAGGCACCAUGGGGACAUUUAUAGCAAUCCGACGCCAUUUAAAGAUGCUCCAGCUUUACAUUAUUUUUAGAUCUGCUGGUGGUGAAGCGUGAAUCAUGUUAUGACUCUUCUCUCUCUUCCCCCUCCCAAAAAAAAUCACAGCUUUAGCCCCGCCUCCCGCACCGCUGACCACCAGUAGGAACUCAUCUCCCGCUCGAUCCCCGACCAAUCACAGCAGCCCUCCAGAGAAGGAGGAGGUGCUGCGGGACAAGGAGCGCCGCGCCCAGCAGCAGCUGGACCGCUGCGCCGAGGAGCGAGGGAGGAAGAUGGAGGUGCAGAAGAGGAAGGAGCAGCAGCGCCGGGCGGCCGCCGGCGAGAAGAGGCGCCAGCAGCAGGAGGCCGAGAAGGUCAGAGGCCGCGGCGCGUUAACGUAGUGAUGUCACAGCUGUGCUUAAUGUUCAGAAUGCCGAGGACCAAAAUUACUGCAGAUCUACAAAAUGAAGUAAACAAGCCCAAAGAUCGAACCAGUGACUUCAUGAGAUUAAUACAAACAAAAAUAUGGAAACUUGAAAAAAAAAAAAACUAAUCCCACCAAAAUUUUUACAUGCUGAAUUUGUAAUAAAUCAUAGUUCCAUUAAUCAUUUGUAGGGUUUGCUGCCACGUGAUCACCAUGACGAUCAUAACAAUUUAUUACACAUGUUUUCAGGUGUCAAUACACAGAAUAUAUAAAUAUAUCUGAUAUGAAACAUCAAUUAGUGCAUCACGACAACUUUCUCACGGCUUCUUCCUCUGAAAAAUAAUAAGUUUGCCUGUUUUUUCUGCCGCAGAAUGAAAUCCAAAGAGAGUGAAUUUAUAAUCACACAUCAGCCAGCGAACGAGGGCAUUGAUUCUUUGAUCCGUUUAUUGAUUUCUGGGCUAAAUCUUCAGGCGUCUCUAGUUGUGUCUUUCUGGUUGUGAUCUGUAAUUAUUGGAGCCACUUCAUGGUGUUUAUACGCUUUUUAUUUAUUGUUGCCAAAGAGCUCCAAUGAACAUGAUCAAUCACAGAUUAAAUACUCAUAGAAAUCUCCAGUUUAUUGCAGAGAAAAUGAGUAAACGGCGGCUCGUCAUCCUUCCUCCCUCUAGGCGCUUUGAAGCAAUAAAAAAUAAGAAGCUAAACACAAUGAAGAGACGCCAAUAAUUACAGAUCACAANNNNNNNNNNNNNNNNNNNNNNNNNNNNNNNNNNNNNNNNNNNNNNNNNNNNNNNNNNNNNNNNNNNNNNNNNNNNNNNNNNNNNNNNNNNNNNNNNNNNAUAUAUAUAUAUAUAUAUAUAUGUAAAUAUGUAUGACAAACAUACAAGAUAAAGAAUGUGGUUGUAAAUCAAAAAGAAGAUCAUUUUUGUUAUCAAUCAAUAGGUCAGGAAAUGAUAAAUGUAAUAUAUAAACUCAAGUAAAUGAAUAUUUACUGUACAAUAUAGUAAAAUUACAGGAGAGCACCUUUAAGCGAAGCUUACGUGUGAAUCAAUAAUAUUGUGUUGUUGUUGCGGCUUGUGCGUAUUUCAUAUUUUAUUACAAUGUGUGUGUGACAGAUAAAAAACCAUUGCAACCAUUAUCAAUAUCCAAUCCACCAGUCUGUGUGUGUGGGGGGGUCUCUGUCCCCUCCCCCCUCACUAAACUGCUCUGUGAGAUCGACUGAGAGGGGGAGAGGGCGGGGUGAGCGAUAUGUGAGGGAGGAGAGGAAGAAAGGGUGAGUCAGUGUUACCUAGAGACAGAGAGAGAGAGAGAGAGGGAGAGAGACACAGAGCGAGAGAAUGAGGUGUAGCAAGAGAGAGAGAGAGAGAGAUACGGAGAGAGAGAGAGAGAGAGAGAGAGAGGUAGAGAUACGGAGAGAGAGAGAGAGAGGUAGAGAUACGGAGAGAGAGAGAGAGAGGUAGAGAUACGGAGAGAGAGAGAGAGAGAGAGGUAGAGAUACGGAGAGAGAGAGAGUGUCAUGCAUCGCUGAGUGACAGCCGAGCCAGCCAUCGAGCGUCCGGUUCGCCGCCGGCAGACA